GCUAAAUGACAUGUGACACUGAAGCCAACUAAAUAUCAAAGAAGAUAUGAGUAUCCACCUGCAAAAUUGGAUGGAAUCCAAUUUCAUCUAUUAAGAUACCAAAAUAAUUUCCCUUUCUCACCUUGAAAUGACCUGAGCUAACAGAAGAAAUUUUCCUGCAUUGCUUAUGAGGAUCAUACAUAAAUCAAAAUGACCUGUUUGGAGGUUGCUGACAGUUCAGGCAUGGUGUCGGUGAUUAUGUGGAAUGCCCCGUGUCCUGAGUGGUUUAAAAUUUUGCGAGUUGGUUUAGUUUUUCUGCUUCAAGAUUAUUCUGUUAAAAAGAAUUAUCCAUUUAGAAUACAGCCUGUCCCCAUGGAUCCACAGAUCAAACUAAUUUCUACAAUGAAAAACACAAUAAAAGAUGGUGAGAGGAUGCUAAUUUACAACAUGCCACCUCUGCUAUAUAGAAUUGUAGGACCAGAUUUUCAUCAUGAAAACUCUCUAAGAGUCUUGCUGUAUCACCCAAACUUAAAGUGCAGUGGUACAAUCUCGGCUCACUGCAACCUCCAGCUCCUGGGUUCCAGCGAUUCUCCUGCCUCAGCCUCUCAGGACAAGGUGACAACUGGUCUCCCUGUACAGGCAGUCAAAGAAAUUUGAGGAAAACACAUUGUAGCAAGAUGAUGAUGUUUUCCGUGAAAACAAUAAAGUGACUAAGAUCCGUU